AUUGAACGCUGGCGGCAGGCCUAACACAUGCAAGUCGAACGAGUGGCGGACGGGUGAGUAAUGUCUGGGAAACUGCCUGAUGGUGGGGGAUAACUACUGGAAACGGUAGCUAAUACCGCAUACCAUCAGAUGUGCCCAGAUGGGAUUAGCUUGGUGGUGGGGUAACGGCUCACCAAGGCGACGAUCACUAGCUGGUCUGAGAGGAUGACCGGCCACACGGGAACUGGGAAACGGUCCAGGCUCCUACGUGAGGCGGCGUAGGGGAAUAUUGGACAAUGGGGGCAAGCCUGAUGCGGCCAGGCCGCGUGGAUGAAGAAGGCCUGCGGGUUGUAAAGUACGUUCAUUGGGGAGGCGUUACCCGCAGAAGAAGCGCCGGCUAACUCCGUGCCAGCAGCCGCGGUAAUAC
rnacentral:rRNA from 1 species